GAGUGACCAGACUCCGAGUCAAUCGAAGCAAAAUGAAAAUCCAAGUUCUCGUCGCCUUCAUGAUCGUGGCAGUCGUUGCUGCCAUGGCUGAUCCCAAUCAGGUGGCCGAAGAGGCAGAAUCACACCCUCUCGAAUUGGGUGUUGCGGAACAUGAUGUCGGCACGCAAGGUGUUUCCUGCAUCCUUGGAGAUUGGGCUUGCUCUGCCCAUUGUCGUGGCAUCGGCAGAAAAGGUGGCAGAUGCAUAAGGGGUACCUGCACUUGCUACAACUAGGGCUAAUGCUAAAUGUUGACCCGGACUGCUCGAAUAUACAUUGAAUCUGGCGAUAGAAUUUUCUGUGUAACUUAAUGUAGUAUCGACGCUUCGACGCGUUUCCAUCGCUGUUUAGUAAGGAGUACACCGAAAAUUCAAUAAAAUAUGUAAUUCUAUAAAAGUAUAUAAUGUUAUUAAUGUACACUUAAAUUCAAAAUAAACGAUAUCGUACCU